CGGGGUGAGUAAUGUAUGGGGAUCUGCCUGAUGGCGGGGGAUAACUACUGGAAACGGUAGCUAAUACCGCACAAUGUCUGCGGACCAAAGCGGGGGACCUCCGGGCCUCGCGCCAUCAGAUGAACCCAUAUGGGAUUAGCUUGUAGGUAAGGUAACGGCUUACCUAGGCGACGAUCCCUAGCUGGUCUGAGAGGAUGAUCAGCCACACUGGGACUGAGACACGGCCCAG
rnacentral:rRNA from 1 species